AGUCCCUGUUCCGUUGGUUUUCAUAAAUGAAAUCCUUCAUUCACAAAAAAAAAAAAAAAAAAAAAAACAGUUUCUUUGAUUGGCUCUCGAUAAGCAUAGACCAUGUAAUUUUCUUGAGGGAAUAGUAUUUACCCCAUGAGGACUUCCAUUUUG
rnacentral:sRNA from 1 species